GGGGGGACCAUCCUCCAAGGCUAAAUACUCCUGACUGACCGAUAGUGAACCAGUACCGUGAGGGAAAGGCGAAAAGAACCCCGGCGAGGGGAGUGAAAAAGAACCUGAAACCGUGUACGUACAAGCAGUGGGAGCACGCUUAGGCGUGUGACUGCGUACCUUUUGUAUAAUGGGUCAGCGACUUAUAUUCUGUAGCAAGGUUAACCGAAUAGGGGAGCCGAAGGGAAACCGAGUCUUAACUGGGCGUUAAGUUGCAGGGUAUAGACCCGAAACCCGGUGAUCUAGCCAUGGGCAGGUUGAAGGU
rnacentral:rRNA from 1 species